AAAAAAAAUCCCAGCGCUGAGCAAACUACAGCCUGAUGAUGCAGGGUGAGGAGUGCCCAGCAACCUCUGUGUGCUCAAGGCACAGCUUUAUCCCAGCCCUCAGUGGGACAGUGCACAUGGAAAUGUGGGAUCUGUUCCUUCCCAAGCCUCAGUGAUGUCUUGCUUUGCAGUUCCUCUCGCUGGUUCUCAUAUCCUGGCAAGAUGCUACAAACCCCACAUGACAAAGAUCAGAAGGAAAUACUUAUUUGAAGAAAGCUCUGUCAUUAGCUGUGCUGAGAUACUUCAAGAGGAAAAAAAGCUAUAAAUUGAAGCAACAAAUUGUGAGCAUCUGUGUGCACAUCCCUUUGCAUCCUGGUACCACUGCUGGCACACGGCUCUCAGGAGGAGUUCAGUGAUGGUGACAAAAUUCAAUUUCAAUGUCCCU
rnacentral:lncRNA from 1 species